rnacentral:rRNA from 1 species
GAUGAACGCUAGCGGCAGGCCUAACACAUGCAAGUCGAGGGGUAACUAGAGUGAUAGCAAUAUUACUUUGGCUAGACCGGCGCACGGGUGCGUAACACGUAUGCAACCUACCUUAUACUGGGGAAUAACUUCGAGAAAUCGGCGCUAAUACCCCAUAACAUUGCGAAGAGGCAUCUCUUUGCAAUUAAAGCUCCGGCGGUAUAAGAUGGGCAUGCGUCCAAUUAGCUAGUUGGUGAGGUAACGGCUCACCAAGGCUACGAUUGGUAGGGGUUCUGAGAGGAUGAUCGCCCACACUGGUACGGAGACACGGACCGGACUCCUACGGGAGGCAGCAGUGAGGAAUAUUGCGCAAUGGACGAAAGUUGGACGCAGCCAUGCCGCGUGCAGGAUGACGGCCCUAUGGGUUGUAAACUGCUUUUGUACGGGAAUAAACCCUUCUACGUGUAGGAGGCUGAAGGUACCGUAAGAAUAAGCACCGGCUAACUCCGUGCCAGCAGCCGCCGUAA